rnacentral:rRNA from 1 species
CGGCUCAUUAUAACAGCUAUAAUGUACUUGAUGUUGAUUAUCCAACGUGGAUAACUGUGGCAAUUCUAGAGCUAAUACAUGCACCAAAGCUCCGACUUUUGAACGAGCGCAUCUAUUAGAUUAAAACCAAUCGGGUUAUUAGCCCGUUAAUUGGUGACUCUGAAUAGCUAUGGCUGAUCGCAUGGUCUUGUACCGGCGACGUAUCUAUCAAGUGUCUGCCUUAUCAACUUUCGAUGGUAGUUUAUGUGCCUACCAUGGUUGUAACGGGUAACGGAGAAUAAGGGUUCGACUCCGGAGAGGGAGCCUGAGAAACGGCUACCACAUCCAAGGAAGGCAGCAGGCGCGCAAAUUACCCACUCUCAGAAUGAGGAGGUAGUGACGAAAAAUAACGAGACCGUUCUCUUUGAGGCCGGUUAUCGGAAUGGGUACAAUUUAAACCUGUUAACGAGGAUCUAUGAGAGGGCAAGUCUGGUGCCAGCAGCCGCGGUAAUUCCAGCUCUCAAAGUGUAUAUCGUCAUUGCUGCGGUUAAAAAGCUCGUAGUUGGAUCUGCGUCUCAGGACCUGGUCCAUCCAUUGGAUGAGAACUGGGCUCCUAGGCUAAUAUUGCCAGUUUUCCAUACGUUACCUUGAUUGGUUGCGUAUGGUGGCUAGCAAGUUUACCUUGAAAAAAUUAGAGUGCUCAAUGCGGGCUAAUGCCUGAAUACUCGUGCAUGGAAUAAUGAAAUAGGAUCUCGGUUCUAUUUUGUUGGUUUUCUGAUCUGAGAUAAUGGUUAAGAGGGACGGACGGGGGCAUUCGUAUCGCUGCGUGAGAGGUGAAAUUCUUGGACCGUAGCGA